GGCUCAUGUGAUGACGUUCAGCACAUGUCGUGUCCCAAAAGUGAUCUGUUUUGUUGUUCGCCCAAUAAUUUUAAACAUGCACAGAAACCCUUUCCCUCCUAAUCCGUAUAUGCAGUCGCCACCAUUUCAGAGAGGUAAUGGACAUGCACAAGGAAACGCGCCGAGAUUUUAUAGUGGGCCUCAGCAACAACACUCACCGUUCAGUUCCCGCGGAGCUGGCAUAGGAAAUCGAGGUUUUUCUCACCGCGGGACGCGACCUGACUGGUCACGCUCUCCAUCGCAACAACAGCAUCCGAGUUCUCCUCUACAUAACACCGGAUCUCCUCUACAUAACACCGGAUCUUCAGACUUUAUUCCGUUAACCUCUACUCCACGACACAGCAGUCCUUAUGCAAGUCCCUAUUCAAAUCAAAGUGCGUAUCAACCCCAGUUCCCAGCAAGAGGCCGAUUUAAAAAUCGAAUGAGCAGUCCUGCUAAUGGCGAACAUGGAUUUAGAAGACAAAAUCAGAGUUUUGGACGUGGGAAUUCAUCAGGAUCAGAUUGCAACCCAGGAGGGAGUAGUAACAUUCAGAACUAUUACCAUCCUUCUAUGUUGGAAGAUCCAUGGGCUAACCUCACGCCAUCCGCUUCUUGUCAAGGGCAGUAGUCUUUAUAGUACUAACUAUAUUGACACUGUCAUCCUGUAACUGCCUGUAUAUAUAUACAUUUUCAAUUUUUUUAAGAAAAAAUAUUUAAAACUCGUGAUCAGUGAACUACAAUUUUGUUUUUUAGACUGAAAAUAAUAAUUUUUUUUAAACUAUCACUCGUUUUUAAAGUGGGUAAUUAGUGUGGGCAUGCUGAUAUGAAUGUAGUUAUAGAUUAAACAUGAAAUUGGUGGGGCAGUGAUCUUAGGGUGUGGAAUUAAAUUGACAAGAAAAAAACAAAGUGAUAAAUGAGCUCAUGAAUUAGAUAUCAGGAUAUGGCACAAAAUUUUGAAAGUUAUGCCAGUGGUUUCUCUAAACUUAAUCAAUUAACUUAUUUCUCCUCGCAUAACCAUAAAUCAUGAAAUAUUACUGCAAGUCACCUUGGCAUAGAAAUUCGUGUUAAUUGUUGUAGAAAUCUAGUAGAGGCAAUGUGGAAUUGUAAUAUUGUAUAUUUUCCUAAUUGAAGUCUAAAUUUGUUCUUAUGACAUAUACCUGUACAUACUUUUCUUGGUCAAAGGGAUUGCAUGUGUACACUACCACAAUUAGUGAUUAGUAAGUCAUGGGACACGUAUCUUGUAUAUUUCAGUAGAGUAAAAGAUUUCAUACUGUUUCGUAAAUGUACAGUGCGUUGAUCACUACCAAGACUAGUUAGAAUGUUAGGUAAUUAGUAAACAGGUUUCCAGUAAUGAUUACAAAUUAGAGUUAUCGUCAAUUGUACUAUUACCAAUAACGUUUUUAAACAGUUCAGUGUGGUAGCCUGGUGUGUAGAGUAUGGUACUCAGGACGUGUGUUUGUGUAGUUGAAUCGACAGUUAUAAUAAAACUACAGGGUGUAAUAAAUUUAAACUUAAGGCGCUCAUUUGUAUACUGUUUGGAAUGACAUUUAUAAGUACUAAUGUAGUCAGGAGUAAAUGUUGUCUAGACUAAGAUACCUAGGUGUUUUCUCAGUAUAAUGAUAAAAUGUAAGAAUGAAUAUACCCAACAGUUUCCACAUUUCUGCUUAUUUUUUCUAGAUGCCAUCAUUAUGGUGUUUAUUUAUAUUAUUUACACAGAACAAUUUUGAGUAGUAUAACGUUUAGUAUUCAAUGUAUAAGUUUCAAAUAAAUAAUACUACCAUUUUCACA
rnacentral:lncRNA from 1 species